rnacentral:rRNA from 1 species
AUAUACGACCGUACCGCAAACCGACACUGGUGCGCGAGAUGAGUAUUCUAAGGCGCUUGAGAGAACUCAGGAGAGGGAACUCGGCAAAUUGACACCGUAACUUCGGAAGAAGGUGUGCCCUAUUAGUGUGUAGUGAACAACGAAGCAUGAAUGGGUUGCAAAAAAUCGGUGGCUGCGACUGUUUAUUAAAAACACAGCACUCUGCAAACACGAAAGUGGACGUAUAGGGUGUGACGCCUGCCCGGUGCUGGAAGAUUAAAUGAUGGGGUGCAAGCUCUUGAUUGAAGUCCCAGUAAACGGCGGCCGUAACUAUAACGGUCCUAAGGUAGCGAAAUUCCUUGUCGGGUAAGUUCCGACCUGCACGAAUGGCGUAACGAUGGCCACACUGUCUCCUCCUGAGACUCAGCGAAGUUGAAAUGUUUGUGAUGAUGCAAUCUCCCCGCGGAAAGACGGAAAGACCCCAUGAACCUUUACUGUAGCUUUGUAUUGGACUUUGAACAGAUCUGUGUAGGAUAGGUGGGAGGCUUUGAAGCAGGGUCGCUAGAUCUUGUGGAGCCAACGUUGAAAUACCACCCUGGUGUGUUUGAGGUUCUAACCUAGGUCCAUUAUCUGGAUCGGGGACAGUGCAUGGUACGCAGUUUGACUGGGGCGGUCUCCUCCCAAAGCGUAACGGAGGAGUUCGAAGGUACGCUAGUUACGGUCGGACAUCGUGACGAUAGUGCAAUGGCAUAAGCGUGCUUAACUGCGAGACUGACAAGUCGAGCAGAUGCGAAAGCAGGACAUAGUGAUCCGGUGGUUCUGUAUGGAAGGGCCAUCGCUCAACGGAUAAAAGGUACUCUGGGGAUAACAGGCUGAUACCGCCCAAGAGUUCAUAUCGACGGCGGUGUUUGGCACCUCGAUGUCGGCUCAUCUCAUCCUGGGGCUGUAGCCGGUCCCAAGGGUAUGGCUGUUCGCCAUUUAAAGAGGUACGUGAGCUGGGUUUAAAACGUCGUGAGACAGUUUGGUCCCUAUCUUCCGUGGGCGCUGCAGAUUUGAGGAAGCCUGCUCCUAGUACGAGAGGACCGGAGUGGACACACCUCUGGUGUAUCGGUUGUCACGCCAGUGGCAUUGCCGAGUAGCUAAGUGUGGAAGAGAUAACCGCUGAAAGCAUCUAAGCGGGAGACUCGUUUCAAGAUGAGAUCUGCCGGGGCCUUGAGCCCCCUAAAGAGUCGUUCAAGACCAGGACGUUGAUAGGUCAGGUGUGGAAGCGAAA